rnacentral:miRNA from 1 species
UAUGUAUAUGUGUGUGUAUGUAUGUGUAUGUGUAGGUACAUAUACACACACACACACACACACACACACACACACACACACACACACACACA